rnacentral:rRNA from 1 species
GAUUUCUGGUUCGGCGCACUUGGCCCGUCUCGGUUUACGAGAUUGUGUGCCGGUGUGCGCCAUCCAUCCUUCGAUGAAUCUCUGUUCUACCCUUCAUUGGGUGUGUUCAGAUUUAGGUUCUCGAUCUUUUACUUUGAAAAAAUUAGAGUGUUUAAAGCAGGCUUGCGCUAUGAAUACAUUAGCAUGGAAUAAUAAUUUAGGACUUUGGUCUUAUUUUGUUGGUUUCUAGGACUAAAGUAAUGAUUGAUAGGGACAGUUGGGGGUGCUAGUAUUCAGCGGCCAGAGGUGAAAUUCUUGGAUUCGCUGAAGACUAACUUAUGCGAAAGCAUU